rnacentral:misc_RNA from 1 species
AACGCAUAUUGUGCUCUUUGGUAUUCCGAAGAGCAUGCUUGUUUGAGUAUCAGUAAACACCUCAACCUCUCUUUUUUGAUAAAAAAAAGGGAGGGUGGACUUGAGCUAUCCCAAGGACCUUCACCGGUAGGCGGGCAGCUUGAAAUGCAGGUGCAGCUGGACUUUUAUCUGAGCUAAAAGCAUAUCUAUUUAGUCCUCGUCAAACAGGAUUAUUACUUUUGCUGCAGCUAACAUAAAGGAUAAUUGUCCUCUUUGCUGACUGAUGCAGGAUUUUACAACACUUUAUGUGUUGUUCAACUCGAUCUCAAAUCAAGUAAGACUACCCGCUGAACUUAA